rnacentral:ncRNA from 1 species
GUGUUCGUUGAGCCGAGAGACGGUUAGCAUCUCCCUCGACAAGGACGGGAUUGCGCGUAUGCGUAUCCAACCAGUGGAUGGUUUAAGCUCUGUUAAGGGGAUCUCCCUGACAUCUAACCAGUUUUUUUU